GGUGGACAACAUCCAGGCUUCAGAGUUGGCAGAGGGUGUGUGGCGGCGUGUGGCACUCGGUCACGGCCUCAAGCUUCUCACCAAGAAUGGCCAUGUCUACAAAUACGAUGGUUUCCGGGAAUCGGAGUUUGAUAAGCUCUCAGAUUUCUUCAAGGCACACUAUCGUCUGGAGCUGGCUGAGAAGGACCUGUGUGUGAAGGGUUGGAACUGGGGCACGGUGAGGUUUG